UGAAGCUGUUUGUACUUUUAUUGUGACGACUUGGUUGUAAAACACACAAACAGAAACCGAGACAAAUGACACUUGAUCCAUGAGACAUUUAAAGGUUGUUACACUUUACAGAUUCAUUCAUGAACAUCAAGGAAAUGAUUUAAACUUGGAUGAUGUGUAAAUUGUGUUGUCAGAGUCACUGUUGUGGAAGACAA